AUGAAAAAUACUUGACAAAUCCUAAUUACCUAAAAUAAUCGAUCUACGAUCAAUCUCCGUUUCAUCUUCUUUCAAUCUCUGUUACCCAUCCUCCUCUGCAAUCAAUCAUUUGCUUUAAUUCCCUCUUAAUUAUUUCCUUUCACCUCCCUUUCUCUCUUAUUUUUUUAUAAACUCUUUCUUCUUAGCUUGCUUACAAAUCAAAACCAGAAAAUCUCAUCUCACUAAGCUCAACCGGAAAAUCUCCUGUCGCUUUGUAUUUCACAUCUCACGAAGUCUAUCUCGAUCCGAGUUACGAUUCCGACUCAUACAUUUCUUGGAGGCGAAAAAUGCAGCAAAGGAGGGAGCUCUAUUGGACUGGAGAUUCUCAUCACCGACGAACAGGCUGCGAUAAGCUCUAAUGGUAGGGAAACAGUAACCAACUUCGAGCUGAGUUCAUACCAGAAUGAGAUUAACUCUGAGACCAGUAACCAAGGUGGCCAUGACAAGCUUGAUCUCAGCUUGGGAAUGUCACUUUCCCCGGGAAUGCGUCAAAGCAAAACGGAAGGUUCUUUCAUUACCCUUAAAAAUACUUAUGAGAUUCAUCGUGGAGUUAUGCUUUUAUAGGUUAUGCUUUUCACAUGGAGUUUAAGUAAGGUGGAAAACGCCACUGAGAUCUUCAAUCUCAGAAUAUCUAGGUUGUAAUUAGCAGCUAAGCCACAAACAAAUUGAUCACCUUAAAGGAUCACUUCUCCAUUUAGCUUAACGUUGGACAUCUUGAUCCUGAUGGUAUCUACACUGGCCAGUUCGCCAAACUCCCCUCUGCGUAUUUGUCUGUGCCCAGAUUUGUCAUAGCUCUCAACUAAUCUACGUUAGAUUUACUUUUUCAUCAUCUCAGAUCUUAGUUUAGUCUUCCAUAAUUGUAUUUUUAGCAAAAAGUAUGAUUGUGUUGGUCUUUCAACGUUUUCAUUCUUAUGAAACAUAACGAUGAUACUAAAAAUGUUUGUUUAAGUA